UACAGAGGGUGCGAGCGUUGUCCGGAAUCACUGGGCGUAAAGGGCGCGUAGGUGGUGGCUUAAGCGUGCGGUGAAAGCUCGGAGCUCAACUCCGAGUCGGCCGUGCGAACUGGGCUCACUGGAGCAUAGUAGAGGCAGGUGGAAUUCCGGGUGUAGCGGUGGAAUGCGUAGAGAUCCGGAAGAACACCAGUGGCGAAGGCGACUUACUGGACACAUAUUGACGCUGAGGUGCGAAAGCGUGGGGAGCAAACAGG
rnacentral:rRNA from 1 species